UACCAGCACCCCGAGUGGUCGGGACGAUUAUUGGGCCUAAAGCAUCCGUAGCCGGUCCUACAAGUCUUCCGUUAAAUCCACCUGCUUAACAGAUGGGCUGCGGAAGAUACUAUAGGGCUAGGAGGCGGGAGAGGCAAGCGGUACUCAGUGGGUAGGGGUAAAAUCCUCUGAUCCAUUGAAGACCACCAGUGGCGAAGGCGGCUUGCCAGAACGCGCUCGACGGUGAGGGAUGAAAGCUGGGGGAGCAAACCGU
rnacentral:rRNA from 1 species